CACACACAUAUGUGUGUGUAUAUAAUAUAUACACACACACACACACACAUAUGUGUGUGUAUAUAUAAUAUAUAUAUAUCUACACACACACACGUGUGUGUGUGUGUGUGGAUAUAUAUAUAUAUAUAUAUA